GGAAGUAAAAGCGUAACAAGGUUUCCGUAGGUGAACCUGCGGAAGGAUCAUUAUCGUACAAAAUGUGAGUGGCAUGCGAGGGCUGUCGCUGACCCAAAAGUCGUGCACGCCCGAGUGUGUCCUCUUGCAUAAUAAUCCAUCUCACCCUUUGUGCAUCACCGCGUGGGCACCCUUCGGGAUCAUCUCGGAGGGGGGCUCGCGUUUUCACACAAACCCCCCUUUUAAAAGUGUAGAAUGACCACAUUUAUGCAAUCAAUACAACUUUCAACAACGGAUCUCUUGGCUCUC
rnacentral:misc_RNA from 1 species